rnacentral:rRNA from 1 species
UACGGGGGGAGCAAGCGUUGUUCGGAUUUACUGGGCGUAAAGGGCGCGUAGGCGGCCAGCACAAGUCAGUUGUGAAAUCUCCGAGCUUAACUCGGAAAGGUCAACUGAUACUGUGCGGCUAGAGUGCAGAAGGGGCAACUGGAAUUCUUGGUGUAGCGGUGAAAUGCGUAGAUAUCGAGAGGAACACCUGCGGCGAAGGCGGGUUGCUGGGCUGACACUGACGCUGAGGCGCGAAAGCCAGGGGAGCGAACGGG